CGAUAUCACAAUCUCACAAAACUUCAUAUGUAUAUCAUCAACCAAAGAUUAGAAGCAAUGGAAGCACGGGGAGUCUAUGUAUAAUGACUUGUUGGGCAUAUAUUGAAUUUUAAAAAAGUGUUGGUGGAGCAAUGAGUUUAAGGGAAGUAGUUGAUGAAGUGAAGCUCUUUUACUUCGCAGUGUAGGAAGCAAAUGCAAAGCUAUUGGUCUCAUGUUAAAAUUUUAUAGGGAUUUUGUUUAGGUCAUCAACAUUAGUCUAUAUGUUUUUAAUUGGUCUGGUAGUUUUCGACCAUACUAGAUUUUUUUGGUCAAUUUGUAAUGUUAUUU
rnacentral:lncRNA from 1 species